CCUACGGGAGGCAGCAGUCGAGAAUUUUUCUCAAUGGGGGCAACCCUGAAGGAGCGACGCCGCGUGGAGGAUGAAGGUCUUCGGAUUGUAAACUCCUGUCAUUGGUGAACAAGGGCCGCCCGUUAACUGCGGGAGGCUUUGAUAGUAGCCGAAGAGGAAGAGACGGCUAACUCUGUGCCAGCAGCCGCGGUAAUACAGAGGUCUCAAGCGUUGUUCGGAUUCAUUGGGCGUAAAGGGUGCGUAGGCGGCGGGGCAAGUCUGAUGUGAAAUCCCGGGGCUCAACCCCGGAACUGCAUUGGAUACUGCUCUGCUUGAGCACUGGAGAGGAGACUGGAAUUUACGGUGUAGCAGUGAAAUGCGUAGAUAUCGUAAGGAAGGCCAGUGGCGAAGGCGAGUCUCUGGACAGUUGCUGACGCUGAGGCACGAAGGCCAGGGGAGCA
rnacentral:rRNA from 1 species